rnacentral:rRNA from 1 species
AGGAAUAUUGGUCAAUGGACGAGAGUCUGAACCAGCCAAGUAGCGUGAAGGAUGACUGCCCUAUGGGUUGUAAACUUCUUUUAUACGGGAAUAAAGUGAGGCACGUGUGCCUUUUUGUAUGUACCGUAUGAAUAAGGAUCGGCUAACUCCGUGCCAGCAGCCGCGGUAAUACGGAGGAUCCGAGCGUUAUCCGGAUUUAUUGGGUUUAAAGGGAGCGUAGAUGGAUGUUUAAGUCAGUUGUGAAAGUUUGCGGCUCAACCGUAAAAUUGCAGUUGAUACUGGAUAUCUUGAGUGCAGUUGAGGCAGGCGGAAUUCGUGGUGUAGCGGUGAAAUGCUUAGAUAUCACGAAGAACUCCGAUUGCGAAGGCAGCCUGCUAAGCUGCAACUGACAUUGAGGCUCGAAAGUGUGGGUAUCAAACAGGAUUAGAUACCCUGGUAGUCCACACGGUAAACGAUGAAUACUCGCUGUUUGCGAUAUACUGCAAGCGGCCAAGCGAAAGCGUUAAGUAUUCCACCUGGGGAGUACGCCGGCAACGGUGAAACUCAAAGGAAUUGACGGGGGCCCGCACAAGCGGAGGAACAUGUGGUUUAAUUCGAUGAUACGCGAGGAACCUUACCCGGGCUUAAAUUGCAGAUGAAUUACGGUGAAAGCCGUAAGCCGCAAGGCAUCUGUGAAGGUGCUGCAUGGUUGUCGUCAGCUCGUGCCGUGAGGUGUCGGCUUAAGUGCCAUAACGAGCGCAACCCUUGUUGUCAGUUACUAACAGGUUCCGCUGAGGACUCUGACAAGACUGCCAUCGUAAGAUGUGAGGAAGGUGGGGAUGACGUCAAAUCAGCACGGCCCUUACGUCCGGGGCUACACACGUGUUACAAUGGGGGGUACAGAGGGCCGCUACCACGCGAGUGGAUGCCAAUCCCAAAAACCUCUCUCAGUUCGGACUGGAGUCUGCAACCCGACUCCACGAAGCUGGAUUCGCUAGUAAUCGCGCAUCAGCCACGGCGCGGUGAAUACGUUCCCG